AGGUUGAUUGACAGAACUUGCAGAAUAUUAAAUUAAAGGUUUUUGUUUCUUUUAUUUUACAAUAUCAUUGUAAUUGGAGUAAUACAUUGGAAUGACAUAAGUAAUUGAAUAAAAAGUAUAGUCUGUUGUGUGAUAACACCCAAGGAUGAAGAAGACAUUACAAAUAGUGGUAAUUUAUUGCAAAUAUGCAGUUAUUAUAAUUUACUUUAUAAUUUUUCUUGUUUGGUCAAUUUAUUUUUGGUUUGAGGAAAAUAAGAGUGUAUAUUUUUCCUGAGGAGGGACUGAUAUAAAUUGACUAAAAAUGAUUUGAGAAUGUUUAAGUAUGUAUCAAACUAUGGAAGGAAAUUAGAAGUAGUGACGUAUGUGUUAUGGGUUAGAAAAACUGUAACUACAUUGGGGGCUCAUAUGAAGGUUAUGGUAACAAGGGGGGGUGUUAUUUCUAGAAACAGUGUAUAUUGAUAGACAAGAUAAUUCACAGAAAAGGAAGGACAGUUGGUCUUGUAAAAAUAUAGGGACAAUUCUAAAAGUAGAUAGAACAUUACACACACCUAGAUUAUGGUAAAAGUAAUAAGUAGUGGCAUUUUGAAGAAGCUUAGGACUUAGUUUUGUUAGGAUUGGAUAUUCUUCCAACUAGAAAACACUUGACUGAUUACAUGUUAUUCUUGCAGCAGUUACGGUAGGGACCAUAAUUUGGCUAUCAUUAUGAAUAUUUUUGUGGCAAGAGGCCAGGUAUUUAAGACAGAAUGUUUACAUAGGGCUGUUAUUUAAAAAUUAAGAUUUAGUGAUCCUGCUAUAAGAAGAAAGUCUGUUGUCAGGAAAUAACCCAUGUGUUAGUGUGUAUGUCCCCAGGAAAAAACAGCACAUAAGAGGCCAGAUGGAAGGGCAUAGGCUGAAUUCUGGAGACUGAGUGUACAUCAAGAUACAUCGGGCUGGGGAUAUACUUCUUACAGCACCUGCUGUGGUAAAGAUCGUCAUGUCUCUCUUUGGUGGGUGCAUAAGUCUCACAAGAAGUAAAGUCCAGCUGAAUAAUGGGUGAGCUUGAAAACACCAUGACAGAGGACGUGAAACAAAACAAAAGAGAGAGAGAGAGAGACUAGAUUCUACUGUAGACAUACUGGGUUGAGUUUGGGGGUUAUUUGUUUUAUUUGAUAAUGUAUCAUGUGAAUAAGGAUAUAUGUUAGGGUAGUUGUACUCUAAACCACAUGUUGAAGGCUCAAUGUGGAAGCCCAUUCCGUGUUGAAUUACUUUAAGAAGCAAUAAUGUUGAUUAAGGUUAUGCACAUGUUUAUCAGUUGAAACAGAGCAGAUGGGGAACUAAGUAAAAAAUGACAUGGUUUGGGAACACCUCUCAGAACCUGCGGCCGAAAGGGGAAGACUGGAUGAAAGCACGAGGAAGCCAAUUAGGGCCUCCAUUUUUGUGGAGUCCAGCAGAAAAGUAUCCUGGAGGCAUAGAGUCAGUCUUAUGUUUAGGAAACCAGAUGGAGAAGGGUUCUCCAGCUUCAGCUGGAAUGUCAGUUUGUGUGAUGAGUGAUGGAAGUAAGAGAAUGUAUGGUGUAAUCAUAGAACAGAGGCCAUACGUCUCUAAGUAUGAAUGCCCCACAGAAAGAAGGCAGAAAUCUGAACCAGGAUGAGAGGUUCCACAUCUGAUGAUCCAAGGGGACCAGAAGGAUCUCUCCCAGUGAUACCAGGAGAUCGAGUCUACGUUUGAGUGUUCCGAAGGAAGUGGGAUCAGCCGAGGAGGGAAGGACCCUACGAGGUGGCAACAGCCACAAACACGGCCGUCCAAGUGAAAGGAAGCAAGACGUGGUAUCAUCUAAACCACUGUACCCGAGUCCCGACGGAGAGAAGGACACAACCAUACAGAGAUGAGGACACAGAGGAUGCUGAUUCACCAGAAGGGACCCCGGAGGGAGCAGGAGCAGCGGAAUCGAUCAAAGCGCCGGGGAGGAAUCAAGAAAAUGGCAGACCAGAUACAACGAGUGCAUCGGCUAACACACUCAGAAGAACCGACCAGGGAAAAAGAGCCUGAAAAGAAAAGAGACAAACAACCAAAGUUUCCUCCAGUAUGGCCAGAAAGCCCAGAAGUGGGAGGGGGUAACAUGUCUGCCACUCCUGAUGAUAUACUUGUUGGGGCAGACUCUGUUGACGGAAGCCUUCUACAGUGGGACCCCGAGGUAUCGCCUAAAGAAGGGGAACAUCUCUUCCCUGAAAUGGACGCCUUCCCAGAUGGAAGCUCAGUUCGGGCUGAGGAGGGAACAACAUGCGAAGAGAGUGGAGGAGAAGCCUUAUCAGGAACAACAAGUGAAGAAAGCAGAGGAGAAGCCUUACCAAGAGCAGAAGGAGAAAUCUUGCAAGAUGAAAGAAAUGGGGAUUUCCCCAAAAUUGACUUUUCAGCUCUUGAAUUGUCUCCAUAAUGAACAAUUGAAGUUAGACCCAUAGAAGAACAAUGAUAUUGACAUAACAGAAGUAACAGUGAACGCUAGAAUAGCAACAACAGACUCACGCACAAUCAAGAUG